GGGGGGGGGGGGCGGUGGGCGGGGGGGGUGGGGGGGGGGCGGGGGCAGAGGAAGAGGUGGCUCGUAGGGGUGGCGAGGGGAGGGCGGGGGAGGACGACGUUGGAAGCUACUUGUUCGUGGGGGGGAGCGUGGGGACACUUACGCUAAUAGCGCAUAAGACCUCAGGGUGGACGCAGGGGGUCUGCGGACAUCGCACGAUUGACUGAGCCGAUGUCGGAUUAGGUAGGUGGCGGGGUAAAGGCGCGCCAAGGCGACGAUCCGUACCUGGUCUGAGAGGAUGCACCGACACACUGGAACUGAGACACGGUACAGACUCCUACUGGCAGCAGCAGUGGGGAAUAUUGGACAAUGGGCGCAAGCCUGAUCCAGCCAUACCGCGUGGGUGAAGAAGGACUUCGGGUUGUAAAGCCCUUUUGUUGGGAAAGAAAAGCAGCAGGUUAAUACCCCGCUGUUCUGACGGUACCCAAAGAAUAAGCAACGGCUAACUUCGUG
rnacentral:rRNA from 1 species